rnacentral:pre_miRNA from 1 species
UCAUUUUUUUCCUAGUGAAACUUAUUUAAGUUUGACCAAAUUUAUAGAAAAAUAUAGUAGCAUUUUCAACACAAAACAAACAUAUUAUCAAAAUAUAUUCAAUGCUAGAUUUAAUGAAACUAAUUUGGUGUUUUAGAUGUUGCUAAUUUUUUCUAUAAAUUUGGUCAAACUUAAAGAAGUUUGACUAGGAAAAGAAAUCA